CCAGGAUUUUCUGGAGUACCAACUGGUUUAACAGUUGUUCAUUUUUCUUACCAGCAUUUUUAUUCUUAACUGUCCUCCCUCUGCUGUUUCAUCUAAUGUGAAGAGGUUUAUGAUGGAAUAAGCAAAAGGGGAGUGGAGGCCUGCCGUGACAGAUGUCCCUUGUCUUCUCUCAAGGAGUAGGAUUAAGGCAGCCACUUUGCACUACGAGACCAGUUAUGCUGAAUGGUUUGUUCCAGGCUGCCUUCACUUGCGUCUUUGCAGGGAUAACUGGGAACAUGAAGCCUCCUUUGGUACAGGAACUUGUGGUCCCACACACCAAUUCACUUCCCAGGGCAGGAAACCUCUCUGCAGGCAGCCUAGGACUUCCAGUACUCAUUUCCAGUUAUAAGUAUAUGCAAAUGCCAGUGCAGAGCAGUGUCAUCUCAUGUGAACAUUGGUGUAUUCGAGGACUUGGAAAAGUGGAAACAGUUUGCUUGGAACUGAUACACUUUCUUUCAUUCUAUUUUUUUUAUUUUUUUAUUUUUCAUUUUUUAACUGACUUUACUGAUUUAAAUGAACUGAUUUUAAACUAAAUCAAAAUAGUCUGUCCUAGACUGAGAUGAAAAUAUUCCUCAAGACUGGUCAGUAAGUUGAUAUUAAAAGAAAAGAAAGCUUUCUAUCAGUCAAAGUGUUUCUCAGUUGAGGAAAAAAAAAAAUCACA
ensembl:lncRNA